rnacentral:rRNA from 1 species
AGUGAACGCUGGCGGCAGGCCUAAUACAUGCAAGUCGAACGGCAGCACAGCAGAGCUUGCUCUGUGGGUGGCGAGUGGCGGACGGGUGAGGAAUACAUGGGAAUCUGCCCAGUCGUGGGGGAUAACGUAUGGAAACGUACGCUAAUACCGCAUGCGCCCUACGGGGGAAAGCCGGGGACCGCAAGGCCUGGCGCGAUUGGAUGAGCCCAUGUUCGAUUAGCUAGUUGGCGGGGUAAAGGCCCACCAAGGCGACGAUCGAUAGCUGGUCUGAGAGGAUGAUCAGCCACACUGGAACUGAGACACGGUCCAGACUCCUACGGGAGGCAGCAGUAGGGAAUAUUGGACAAUGGGGGCAACCCUGAUCCAGCCAUGCCGCGUGAGUGAAGAAGGCCCUCGGGUUGUAAAGCUCUUUUGUCCGGAAAGAAAGCAUUCGGUUAAUACCCGGGUGUUCUGACGGUACCGGAAGAAUAAGCACGGCUAACUCGUGCCAGC